rnacentral:tRNA from 1 species
UUCGCGAGCACUGGUAGAGCUCUCGGCUGUUAACCGAGCGGUCACAGGUUCAAAUCCUGUACGCGGCGCCA